GGCUCAAUAGUCAAGGGGGUAAGACAUAGCAUUUUCGCUGCUACACGCAUGGGUUCAAAUCCCAUUUGGGCUA
rnacentral:tRNA from 1 species